UCAAGCUACAAAGGGCGCAGGGCGAAUGCCUUGGCACUGGGAGCCGAAGAAGGACGUGGUUAACUGCGAUAAGCUGCGGGGAGUCGUAAGCAGACGUUAUAUCCGCAGAUUUCCGAAUGGGGCAACCCGGCUGAUUGCAGAUCAGUCAACAUAUACUGAAUAAAAUAGGUAUAUGUGGGGAACCGCCUGAACUGAAACAUCUAAGUAGGGCGAGGAAGAGAAAUCAAACGAGAUUUCGUAAGUAGUGGCGAGCGAACGCGAAAGAGGCUAAACCAAGAGAAGAAAUUCUUUUGGGGUUACGGACUGCGAUAUGUAUCUGAGGACUUAGCAGAAUGGUAUGGGAAAGCCAACCAGAGAAUGUGAUAGUCAUGUAUGCGAAAAGGAAUCAGAGCUAGCAGGAUCCAAAGUACCGCGGGACACGAGGAAUCCCGUGGGAAGUCGGGGGGACCACCCUCCAAGCCUAAAUACUACCUGAUGACCGAUAGAGGAGCAGUACCGUGAGGGAAAGGUGAAAAGGACCCCGGGAGGGGAGUGAAAGAGAACCUGAAACCUUGUGCUUACAAGCACUCAAAGCACGUUAAAGUGUGAUGAGGUACUUUUUGUAGAACGGUCCGGCGAGUUAUAGUAACGAGCAAGCUUAAGGUAUUCAGUACCGGAGGCGAAGCGAGAGCGAGUCUGAAUAGGGCGCAUAAAGUUCGUUGCCAUAGACCCGAAACCGGGUGACCUAACCAUGAGCAGGCUGAAGUGAGAGUAAAAUCUCAUGGAGGGCCGAACGCACGUUCGUUGCAAUGACCGGCGAUGACUUGUGGUUAGCGGAGAAAUUCCAAUCGAACUCGGAGAUAGCUGGUUCUCCCCGAAAUAGCUUUAGGGCUAGCCUCGAUUUAGAUUACCGGGGGUAGAGCACUGAAUGGGCUAGGGGGCCACAAAGCUUACCGAACCCUAUCAAACUUCGAAUACCGGAUAAUUGAUGAUCGGGAGUCAGACAGUGUGAGAUAAGUUUCAUUGUCGAAAGGGAAACAGCCCAGAUCUACGACUAAGGUCCCAAAGUUCAAGUUAAGUGGAAAAGGAUGUGCAAUUGCGUAGACAACCAGGAUGUUGGCUUAGUAGCAGCCAUUCAUUCAAAGAGUGCGUAAUAGCUCACUGGUCGAGUGAUUGUGCGCCGAAAAUGUAACGGGGCUAAACUUGACACCGAAGUCUAGGCAGAAGGAAACUUCUGGGUAGGGGAGCAACGUGUACGGGCAGAAGCAGAAGCGGAAGCGACUGUGGACUGUACAGGAGAGAGAAUGCCGGCAUGAGUAGCGAGAGCAAAGUGAGAAUCUUUGCCGUCGAAAGCCUAAGGUUUCCUGAGGAAGGCUCGUCCUCUCAGGGUAAGUCGGGACCUAAGCCGAGGACAAUAGUCGUAGGCGAUGGACAAUCGGUUAAUAUUCCGAUACCGCCGAGCAACCGGAUGCAGUGACACAGAAGGAUAGGCAGAGCGUGGCGAUGGUAGACCACGUCCAAGCAGUGAGGCUGUUGUGUAGUGAAGUACGCACAACGUAAGGCUGGGCUGUGAUGGGGAACGAUUACGAUCGGUAAGCUGCUGAAUUCACGCUGGCGAGAAAAGCUGCUACGAAGCGAAGGCGCCCGUACCGCAAACCGACACAGGUAGGCGAGGAGAGAAUCCUAAGACGAGCGGGAGAACCCUUGUUAAGGAACUCGGCAAAAUGACUCCGUAACUUAGGGAGAAGGAGUGCCCAGGAAUGGGCCGCAGAGAAUAGACCCAAGCGACUGUUUACCAAAAACACAGGUCUGUGCGAAGUAGAGAUACGACGUAUACGGGCUGACACCUGCCCAGUGCCGGAAGGUUAAGGGGAAAUGUUAGGGCAACCGAAGCAUGGAACUUAAGCCCCGGUGAACGGCGGCCGUAACUAUAACGGUCCUAAGGUAGCGAAAUUCCUUGUCGGGU
rnacentral:rRNA from 1 species